GAUGAACGCUGGCGGCGUGCUUAACACAUGCAAGUCGAACGAAGCGCUUGAGAUUGAUUCUUCGGAAGAUUUCUCUUGUGACUUAGUGGCGGACGGGUGAGUAACGCGUGGGUAACCUGCCUCACACAGGGGGAUAACAGUUGGAAACGACCGCUAAUACCGCAUAACCCGCUAGGGCCGCAUGGCCCGGACGGAAAAGAUUUAUCGGUGUGAGAUGGACCCGCGUUGGAUUAGCUAGUUGGCAGGGUAACGGCCUACCAAGGCGACGAUCCAUAGCCGGCCUGGGAGGGUGAACGGCCACAUUGGGACUGAGACACGGCCCAAACUCCUACGGGAGGCAGCAGUGGGGAAUAUUGCACAAUGGGGGAAACCCUGAUGCAGCGACGCCGCGUGAGUGAAGAAGUAUUUCGGUAUGUAAAGCUCUAUCAGCAGGGAAGAAAAUGACGGUACCUGACUAAGAAGCCCCGGCUAACUACGUGCCAGCAGCCGCCGCAG
rnacentral:rRNA from 1 species